rnacentral:misc_RNA from 1 species
UUUCCGUAGGUGAACCUGCGGAAGGAUCAUUAUUGGAUUUUGAAACUUCAGGCUGCUGCUGGCUCUCCUCGGAGGGCAUGUGCACGCUUGUUGUCCAUUAUUUCUCCCACUGUGCACAAAUUGUAGAUCUUUCAGUAGGCCUAUGUUGUUUUUCACAAUCUCUGAAUGUAAUAGAAUGGUUUUGAAUCUUGGGAAAUACAAUACAACUUUCAGCAACGGAUCUCUUGGCUCUC